AUAAAAGGGAGUAGAACAGCUAAGGAAAAGGGGGGAAAAACUGGCGGGCUGCGUUGUUUGGCGACCCCCGUGAAAUGGUCGUUCGACCCCAAAUGGGGUCCCGACCCACAGGUUGUGAAUUACUGAUCUAAAAAGAUCAUUUGAGGCUUGAUUUGAACUUGUGAACUCUGAGGUAGCAGACAGGGUUCUCCGUGACAUUAAUUUUGCCAUCGGCAGUUUGAAUUCAUCCUCCACUAGUUCCUCUGUACGCAUGCAUCUGCAGUUAUAUUUGAGAGGGAGUUAAUGCUACCUUAAGGGAGGAAGUGGUAUUCUCCAUCUCCUGAAGAAGGUGGCUCAUGAACUGCUUGUAUUGGAUAACUUCUGCCACGUUUCCAGACUUCUUUUUCCCCCAGGAAGAUUAUGAAGAAAAUAAUGGGGUAUCAGUUGCAGAAAAUAUUGGAUAAAGUGGAUAAUUGGAUCUCUUUCAUUUCACUUUUCUCAGAUCUGGGUGUGGUACAGAAACUGUUUCAGCUGCUCUUGUGGGAUGAAUUUAGUUGGGCCGUGUCCUUGUUCAAUUAGAUUUCUCAGUAAUGUUCUGUAUCAUUGAUCAGAUACUUUUCUGGACUAUUUAAGAGAUGGGUGUGGAUGUGGAUGAGUGGCUAGUGGUGCUAUUCUGCAGUGGUUCCAUUCUUUCAUAAGUGAGUGGUUGGUUAUAUUUGGUAAUAUCAAGAGAAGAAAAGUGAGACCUUGGGGCAUGUGAACAUACAGUGCCCCAGGACUUUAUUCUUUCCCCUCUGCUAUUUAUUAUUUAAAUGAAACCACUGGGAAAGGUCAUUUGUUAGUUUAGAGUGAGAGUUCAACAAUAUGUACUGUAUAUAAUAAUACCAAACUUUAUAGCCUUAACAGAGCAGGAAAUGCAGAAGAGAUCCUCAGGCAGUGUGUGAAAAGUGAGAGUGAAUGGGAUGCAAGAAACUAGAUUAAACUGAAUCAUAGCAUGAGGAUGUUAUUGGUUGUUCAGAAACAAUUGGUCUUAUUUUGUGCCUCAGUGUUGGCUUUAGAGAGGUUCACAUUCCUUGACAGAGUUAGGAUAAAAAUGGGGAUCCUUCUAUAUGAUCAGCAGGUGGAUUUUAUUACCAGGAAAGCCUUUCUCAAGUGCUGCCUAGUGUUUCCACUGUGUUCCUUGGAAGUGGAGGACAUUGGCAAUAGUCACUCUUAUUCUCAUUACCUUUGAAGAUGAUCUAAAAACUGUAGUUGGUGUUCACAGGCUGUGAGCUGAGAUCCGCUUCAGCAGGGCAGCAUUAUGCUAUGUUUUCUGCAUUAAUGAACAAAUUUCCUUGUAUAAAAUGCUGAAGGCUAAAGCCUUUCAUGAUUUGGACUGUGCUACUUUAUGAAUGGCCUUCUUCAAAUAGGUGCUGUAUUAUUUCUUUGGACUUCUUUGAAUUCUCUCCCACUUCAGGUAGGGGAAUGGGAACAUGUUUUACUGUUGCUCUAUCUCCUGGAACAGUCUGCUCCCUGUUCUACUAUUCGAAUUUAUUGUAGAGAGGAAUAGGAUUUUAUGUGAGUCACCAAAAUUUUGUUAAAAUUGGGGGCAGAAUAUAAAUAAUGCAAUAAAAAAAUAAGACCAGAUGCCUCCCCAACAUUUUGGACUUCAAUUCUCAGAAUUUUCAGUAUAAUUUUCUAAGAUUUCUAUACAGUAAUCUCAAAAUCUUAAGUUACCAAAGAAUAUGUUAACAUCAAGGCAUUAGAAAGUUCUUUGCUAUAUCUAUCUCUCUUCAAUGUGUUAUUUAAGUAAUCCAGUAUUAUAUCUAAGGAUAAUGAAUGUACUUUUUCCCAACCCAGAGUUGAGCCCCAUUUUACCAAUGAAAGCCCUAGUCUGAACUUGAAGCAUUCUUCUGCUUGCACUAAUGUUUCUCUCCUGAAUCUAACUGAUGGGGAACGUGAUGAUUCCACCACGGAGAAUGAAUCCACAGAUGAUGGAGGCCUGCUGUGGGGAGCAGGGGACGAAAAAAGGGAUCUUCUCCAGCACUGGAGAUGGAGAAUCCACCAAUGGGUUUAGACUGUAUUCCUGCCCAAUCAGAUCAAGUCAGCCAAAGUUGCCACGCUCGUCCUGGACCAUAGAGAUCCCAGUCUUGACUUGAUCUCGCCCAGGACAAACGUGCAGAUUUGGCUCUUAGGCAGGUACAGUCUCCAUUGGUGGAUUUUUUCACAGUUGCUGAGCUAGGCUGUACUUAGUAUAGAAUUGUUUUCUGUUAUCAAUUAAUCCAUUCAGGAACAUCCUAAAUUCCAAAUUUUCAACAGAUUCCUGAGUGAGGGGGAACAGAAAUUGAGUGCCCAGGAGGGAACUCCAUUUUCCUUUCCUUCUUCCUUCCAAACCGAGCAAUAAUUCUUACCCAAGAGUCCCAGAAUUAAUUAAGGCUCCGGUGGAAUCGCAGAGGUUAAUUUCUAAACCGGUCUCAGAUCGGUCUCCCUUGGGAUUGGAGUUUGUGGCUGCCGCUCCGGUGAUUUGUUGCACAGUAGGUGGGGGGUGUUUUUCCCCUUUACUCGACAUGCUCAGAUUCCUUUUAGGGGACCUUUACUAUUUUGGGAGCUGCAGCCCCGAAGCUUAUUCAAGCCGGUAUUCCCAUUCAUUUGUCUCAGUAGCUUGCUCUCUUCAGUCUGUUCCUCUCUGGCCGCAGGCGCAUUUGCAUACAAGGGUGCCAAUUCCAAUACAGGGUGCUCCCAUUUGGCCUCUCGUCGGCUCCCAGGGUCUUUACCAAAAUCCUGGCGGUACUAGCAACUCAUUUACGAAUGAUACCAGUCAGAGUGCAAUGUUACUUGGACGACAUAUUAAUCCAGUCAUCGUCCAUCCAGUCCGCAAAGGUGGACCUCAAACUGGUAGUAACACUACUCCAAGACCAUGGGUUCUCCAUAAAUUUUCCAAAAAGUCACAUGUUCCCCACAAAUUGACUGUUGCAUCUCGGGGCCAUUAUAGACACAGUGGAGUGUCAGUGUACUUGUCCCAGGAACUCCGGAACAGCAUAAGAGACUCCAUCCUGAAAUUACACGGGGGGCGGUCAGUAACAUUGGUCAGUCUUUUCCAACUGUUAGGCAAAAUGAUCUCGGCCAUAGCAAUCGUCCCCUGGUCCAGACUUCACUCCAGGGAACUACAGUGGUUCAUGCUCCCAUUUCAGAGACAGAACCUCAGUUCCUCCCAACGACAAACAAGUCUCCCAGCACAGAUGGUGCGUUCUCUCAUGUGGUGGCGAUCAACCGCCAUGCUCAGAGGGUUAUGUUUCAGGGAACCAGAUCAGAUAGUGAUAACUACAGAUGCCAGUCUAUUCGGCUGGGGAGCACACCUGCGUCCGUAGUGGGCUCAGGGCCGCUGGUCUCGCUCAGACCUGCGCCACAACAUAAAUUGGCUAGAACUAGGAGCUAUACAUCUAGCCCUGCGUUCACUUCCACAGUCUGGUGAAAGGGCGUCAUGUACUGGUCCUCAUGGACAACGUGGCCGUCAAGGCUCAUGUGAACUGCCAAGGGGGCACCAAAUCCCAGGCCUUACUGACCGAGUCACUCUUACUGGUUUCUUGGACAGAACACAAUCUGGCCUCCAUCAGGGCCGAUCAUAUUUCAGGGGAGGCGAACACUCAAGCCAACCUUCUGAGCAGAGCUUACAGUGGAUCACUCAGAGUGGCGUCUUCACCCGAGACUCUUCAGAGAGAUCUGUCACCAUUUCGGCCUUCCACUUGUGGACCUCUUUUCAUCCCCGAGCAACGCUCCGCUGUCUCGGUUCUUCUCCCGGUUUCCGUCUCCAGGGGCGGAGCAGACGGAUGCUCUUUGGAGCCCAUGGGCUCAGGGUCUGCUUUAUGCAUUCCCUCCUCUACCUCUUAUCCCGACGGUAAUCCGCAAGCUUCUUCAGGAGCGAGCAGAGAUACUCCUAGUGGCCUCUUAUUGGCCAAGGAGGCAUUGGUUCGCUGAUCAGAUGGAUCUCUCCCUAGCAGAGAGAUUCAGGAAUCUCUCCCUUGGCGGAUUCCUCCGGAACAGGUCUCUCUCAGUCAAGGGACCAUCCUUCAUCCGGACCCCCAAUGGCUCCAGUUAGCCGUCUGGCACUUGAGUGUUCGCUCUUAAUGCAGGAGAUCUGCUCGCCGGGGGUCAUUAUUGUCAUCCAGGCCUCCCAUCGUCCUUCCACAACCGGAUAUACGAGGCCACAUGGAAGAAUUUCCAAUCAUGGUGCUCUGGCCGUCACUUAUCACUUUUGGAACUCACGGUUCCACAUAUUCUGGACUGUCUGUUACAGGGCCUAGAGAAGGGCCUGGCCACAAACACGCUGCACAGACAGGUUGCUGCUCUUUCCACGGUCCUCACCUUUGACUCGGUGGGGUCCUUGGAACAUCAUCCCUUAAUUCGCUCUUUCCUUAAAGGGGCUUCUAAUUCCAGGUCUCCUACGGUACACAGGUACCCUUCAUGGGAACUACCACGGGUCCUUAGGGCUCUUACCAAGCUUCCCUUUGAGCCCCUGAGGACAUGCGACAUCCACUACCUGUCCCACAAGGUGGCAUUCCUAGUGGCAAUCACAUCGGCAUGCCGUAUUUCAGAAUUGGCAGCACUUUCUACAAGGGAUGACCUGUGCAUUUUUUCACCAGGAUAGGGUGGUCCUUCGACUCCACCCUACUUUCAUCCCAAAGGUUAACUCUCUGUUCCAUAGGUCCCAGAAAAUAGUGCUGCUGGAUUUCUGCCCCAAUCCAUCACAUGUACUGGAACGGCAAUGGCAUAGCCUGGAUGUCCACAGGGCACUUAGGUACUAUAUUUUGCUGACAGCAACAUUCGCAAAUAGGGAGCCCUUUUUGUAUCCUUCCAUUCUUUCUCCAUGGGGCGGAAGGUUUCCUCUUCCACGAUUGGCAGGUGGAUCAGGGAGUGCAUUGCUGAGGCAUAUCAAGCUGAGUCAUUGCUGGCUCCACGAGGGGUCACGGCCCACUCUACACAGAGAGCGGCCAUUUCUGCGGCAUGGGCCACCCAGGCACCCAUUGAGGAUGUCUGCAGGGCGGCUACAUGGACUUCAUCAUCUCCAUUUAUACAACACUACAAAAUUGAUCGGUUUGCCUCGGCUGAGGCUUCUUUCGGUAGGAGAGUUCUCCAACAAGUUUUACAUCAAAGGGCCACACCGGACCAGUCUACUACCCACCCUCAGGGACAGUAGGCUUUGGUAUGUCCCAUUGGUGGAUUCUUGAUCUCCAGUGCUGGAGAAGGGGCGUUGUCUUACCUGAACGCCUUUUCUCAGCACGGAGAUGGAGAAUCCAGUCCCACCUUUGUAGGUUAUCAGACCUAGGGUUAGUUAGUUAAUUUUUUUGUGAGCCACAACGUCUUGCUGUCAGUCAAUGGCUACGCUCGCAUCAAGACUGGGAUCUCUAUGGUCCAGGACAGGCGUGGCAACUUUGGCUGACUUGAUCUGAUUGGGCAGGAAUACAGUCUAAACCCAUUGGUGGAUUCUCCAUGUCCGUGCUGAGAAAAGGCGUUCAGGUAAGACAACGCCCCUUCUAUUUCCCAUCAAGCCAGUUUGGUCAAAAGAUGAAGAUGAUACUUCCAGACAGCCCGUGAGGCAAUGAGUCACAGUUGCACAUAUCUUACCUGUUGCUGCUUUGUCAAUUAAGUAUCCAACCCUGAAGCAUUGUUUUAAUAAUAGACAAAUAAAAAAAAAUCCCUCACCUCCCCCCAGAAAGUAUCUACGGCACUUUAAAUAAUAGCUUGAUUAAGUUGCUAGAGCUACUACUUUAUACCAUGAUUUUUAUUUUUGAGGUGCAUAAAACUCCUUUUAGUGCUAUAAUUAACUAACAGGUAUUCCUUCUACAAAUCCCCCACUCCACCCCAAAGUUUGUAUUCUUGAUGGGCUUUGAGUCUAUAUAUCUUUUCAGUCCACAUUCCACUUUAAAGAUAUUAUUCCCAAGUCUCUCAUCUUUCCUUGAACAGAAAAGGUCAAUCCUGCUGGAACUUCUAGUUUUGUCUAUAUCUGCUUUUCUCUCUUCCAGCUUCCAUAUUCAGAAGAAAAUUAGGCUGGUAUUAAUAUAUAGCAACCAAGGUUUAAGCCAAACAAAGAAUCCUUUACUGAUGCUUCUGCAAAUUCAGGAAUGCUUCCAGAGGGUGUCUUGGAUGUCUGGUCAGAGGUUGCAAUUGAUUCAAGAAACAGAGGAUCAUAAUACUGUAUUUUUAGCAGUACAGUGGACUUUCUAUAACAUCCCAGAAAAUAAUUCAGUUGUGGGCUUCCUAUAAUAUUCUAGAAAAUAAUUCCUAUUUCUUUAUGUUGGGAUUAGCAUUUCUUUGGACAAGCAAUUUGGAUGUUUAAUUUGCUUUUCUUUUAAUUUGCUGUUAACUUCAUAUUCUCACCAAUCCUGAACUUAACAAUGUAUUUAUAUUUUUUUUCCUGAUAAGAGCUUUUCUUGAAGAUUUUCUUGCAGUCAUCCUUCUAUACUGAUGUGUUUGUGCCAUUCCUUUUUCUUCAUUUACUUUCUACACCUAAGCAUGGCCUUUUAUAUUGCUCCAAAUAUUUCUUUGUCCCCUUUGCCUUGAUUCCUCAGCUAUAAAAGUAUACAAGCUUAAUUUCAAUUUUAUUGACUCUUGUAUCACUGCAAGAUUCUAACUAUCAAUAAUGAAUUGUUUGGGUCCCUUAAAAAACUCUUCUAGGUCUCUAAGAUAUUGAGAAUGUUUUUCAAAUGAUGCUGAAGAGCAGCUGUCCCAGUUGAGAGGAGGGUUCAAGCAGGGAAUUAGCUUGGACUCAUUAUGUAAACAAGGUAACCAUACCUCCUAUGCUUGGAGCCUUGUCUUUCCUAGGCAAAGCUGCCAGUCUGGGGAAAUUCCUGUGAAAUAGACAUAGAAUAAUAAAAUAGUUAGUUUGAAUUCUACAUGUGUGGGUCUGGUUGUGCAAGCCUGACAGCUGCCCUCUUUCCAUUUCAAAAGCAUUGGAACUUAAAUAAAUGUCUGGAAGUGUGCAUUAGUCAGAAGUAAGUGGUAACUGUAAUUUGCUUGAUCAGCUCCCUCUUAUACUCUCUCCCAGCAGGAAGUGGGUAAUAGUGAUCUCUACUAACCAAGGAUUCUAACAGCAGCCUCAAGGAGAAGACAUCCAAGGUUACGGGCCAUCUUCAGAAUCUGCAGGUUUGGAAGCUAAAAGCUGCGGAAAGGUGACAAAAUCUGUGGAGAAUGCCAAAAUUAAGACCAGUAUGCUAGAAGAAAACUCAGCCCUCUUGGAGGUGAGACAGAAGGUGCCCAUUUUUGCCAUCUCUUUGAAGCCUUUUCCUUUUUUCAUCUUUGUCAAAGAAUUCUCUUUCCAAUAAAAAAAAAAUGAUGAAGCUUUUAGCAAAAGAGAGCCAUUGUCUACCAGGCAUUAAGGAGAUUAUAAUUCAGAUCCAAGGUCAACCAUUGAAACUUGCUCAGGCUUACCUAUGCACAAGAUGAUUUUGGAAAAUUUAGAAAUGAAACUGCGGGGAAGAGAAAUAAGCACUCUCAACCGUGCUCGAUUCCUUGUGGCAAAGUUUUUUUUUUUUAGCAACAGUGGCAGCGGCAGCACACUGCUGGCUCAUAUUUAGGCGAUUGUCUACUAGGACUCCGAGAAGGAGUUAACUUUGGACUGGCUCUGAAGAGACUGUAGACCCACACCUGUAGACACACAUAUGAUUGGUUUCUUCCAACCAUAUCUCUUUGAGGGGCUGGGCUGACCGAGGGAGGGCCUGGGGGUCUUUCAGUCCCCUGAAAGGGAUACUGCUAAAAGAAACCAGAAGAGUUAGAACUAAACUUGCCAGUUUGAGUUUCUCAUUCAAAGUUGGAGUAGAAAUCUAAUUAACCAUCAUGGUUAUUUAUGGUCAUGUGAUUUCUUAGUGGGUUAUCUUGAGUAUUAUAUGAUUGACUGUCAACAUAGCUAUGUUCAGUUAGUUGCUAUCCUCUGUAGACUUCUAAAUAAAAGGUGGGGAAAGGAGGAGGAGGAAAAAGAUGGUGCAAAGUCUCCAUCUUGUCCAUCUUCAGGGUUUUGGCACAACUGUCCCCUUUUUUAAAUGCUGUAAGUUUCUGCAGUUUGUCCCUUUCAUUUACCUUUUUAUCAAAUGCAAAUGGUUGCAGAUAGUUUGGAUUCCAUCACAAAAAAAGAACAUAAAACCGCAUUCUUCUGAUGAUUUGCUGAGUUGUAUUUUCUAAAGGUUCACUUUGAGGUGAAGGAUGUCUUUUAGAUGAACAAUAUGUUCCUCCUCUUGCUUUAGCCCAAUUGUGUACCACAUCAGCAGCCAAGCCAAGGUGACCAAUUGUUCCAGCAGCCCAUUCGGCAGGAAGGAAAGGAAAUGAAGAAACAGAACACUGAAGAGCAGCCUGUUUAAUAAGAUAGUCGGAAUCACGUAAUUGGAAUCCUGGCCCAAGCUUGUUGCAAUGCACAUAACAAAAUGGACAGGAUUUAAUCAAGUGAUCACAGCUGCCUCAUUGACUUAUUUGACCCAUGACCCUAAGGGAAAUUAAAGUAAUCAAUACACACACACACACGCAAAAACAAUUGCCACCAAGGAUAACUUUUUAUUUUAGCCUUUCUCAGGUUGGCAUUCUCCAGGUAUAUUGGAAAACUACAAUUGGAGUUCCUAACUAGCCUAGUUAUAUGGUUGGAAAUUAAGAACAUUGUAGUUUCUUACAUCUUGAUGUUAGGUUAGAGAAAGGUAUUUUGUUGCCUUUGGUGCUCCCUUUUAUUUUCUUUGUGGAUUUGAACUCUGUAGAGUUUUACUGUAUCAGAUUGCUAAUUGGAAAAGAGAACAGCAUAUAAAUAUACUGAAUGCCCCCAAAUUAAUCUUAUUCUUUCCCUUCCCCUACUUUGCUUAGGAGAAACUGCAUAACUUGCAGCAGCAGGUUCAAGUUGAAGACUUUCGUUGGUAAGAUCUCACGUUAAUUGCUGGAACAGGGAUGGCGAUUGGGGUCUCCAAAUAACUUUUGUACCUCAUAAGUAGCAUGGAGGCAACAUCCCCAAGGUCAGCCAUCUGCAGAGACUCCAGAGGUCCAAUUCUCAUCUCUUAGUACUUCUCUGAGGGCUAUGAAUUUGGAAGUUGUGGAAAUUUGCCAUUUCACUUACAGCUGCUGUCGUUUCCCUUCUAUGCCACGGCAAAGCAGGCAUCAGUGUCUCUCACUCAGGUCCAGUCAGACCUGGAUGGACUCCUGGAAGACAUAUCCCGGCAUCUUGGAAACACUGAAGAAUAUGGAAGCAUCUGACCGACCUCCUUCUAAUUGUGCUAGAGAUGUUCCAGUUACAGCAUUGUGAAUACAGAGGUGUUGCGAAAGAUGUUUGCGCAUGCGAUGGCACCCAUUUUGGAGGAGCUGAAGCAGCGGGCCCAAUCAAAAGGCAUAUGCCCCAGCUGCCAGUGUUUGCAGAAGACGAUGGCACAGCGAGGCAGAGUAGACCAAGGGUGUCAAACCAGGAAACCGCGCUCAUCCCAUUGCUGGCAAAGGGGAAAAAGCUCCGAUACGUUGCGAAGCAUCAUGUGAUGUCACAAACUUGACAUGUCUAGAAUAGACUAACCUCAAACCCUCCAGCCCCCAAUAAAAUGUUUCCAGAGUG